UACAGAGGUCUCAAGCGUUGUUCGGAUUCAUUGGGCGUAAAGGGUGCGUAGGUGGCGCGCUAAGUCAGGUGUGAAAUUUCGGAGCUUAACUCCGAAACUGCAUUUGAUACUGGCGUGCUUGAGGACUGGAGAGGAGGCUGGAAUUCACGGUGUAGCAGUGAAAUGCGUAGAUAUCAGGAGGAACACCGGUGGCGAAGGCGGGUCUCUGGGCAGUAACUGACGCUGAGGAGCGAAAGCGUGGGGAGCGAACAGG
rnacentral:rRNA from 1 species